UGUAUUGUCCUCCUUCUGUGGUGGAGCAUAAUCAAAAUGGCUUCCAGCUGGUCCUUAGUGGGGACGAGGAGGCUCCAGGCCUUAGACGUGAGCCAUAGGCCAGAAAUGGCAGACUGACUAGAUGAGGAAGGGGGAGCCCCAAAUCAAAGCCCCAGCAUGAGAUCCUGGAAAAAACCCUCUUGUUCAGUGGACCAAACGCAGCCCUCCUCAUGGUUAGAGGGACAUCACACUUCCUGUCAGCCUUAUCCUUUAAAGCUUCAUCCUCAACCGGCUUCCCACCGGGCUCUUGCCUCAAGUGCUGUGACUACUUCCUUGCUGCCAAAUGGAAGUUCCAUGGAAGCAGAGCUCUGUCUUGUUCUCAGUUUUGUUCCUAGCACCUAGCCCAAGUCCUUGGAUCCUACUGUAAACAGGGUCUCACUAUGUUGUCCACACUGGUCUCAAAC